CUAGAAUCCAUAAAAUAUAUCAACAACGAGAAGCUUUCCACUAUACACAGCUCGAGGGCUAGAGAGAAAACUAGAGUGAGAAAAAUGAUCUACAGGAAGUGGAGUCUGCUAACCGGCCCGACCUCGAUCAUCGCCGGAGUAAUCGGCACUGUGGUGGUUGCCGAUCUCCUCUUCGUUGAUAACGGUUGGUUGCGCAAGGGAGAUGAAAAAAAGCAAGAACCAGCAACUUCAUCCAAGUAGAAGCAGAUAGGAUGCAUUGUCUUCUUCUCUUUUGUCAAAAACGUGUUGUUGAAUAAAUUUAUGUUGUUCGUUGUAAAACUCAGUUUUUGUGUUUAAAUCUUUUGAGUUUUCAUCAACAGCCUCAGUUCCAAAAAUGGGAAAUAUGUGAGGUUAUCUGGAUAGCAAGAAAAUCAAGAAGUUGAGCAUUUCCAUGAUCAAAUCAUUCCAAGAAUCUAUAGGCCCAGGUAAGCACCAAUGCAAACAGUCAUUCUGAAUCUUUGCAUCCUUGUCCUUCCCCUGGUAUGGUUGGAACUGCCUGUACACGCCCGGAUGCCCAUCCGGCCUGAGGAGCGAAAGCAUGGUAGUGUCGAGCAGCUUCAAACUGCCUGCCCCGUUUCUUGAAACUGCCCACUCGAACUCCUCAAGCUCAACAUUUCUCAUCAUCUCAUCUACGUCUCUCGUUUCAACCUCGCCUGCUUUGAAUGGCUCCGUCCUGUUGCAGUAACCCCCGCUGUCCCAUUCCCCGUUCUCAAAGUGAUCCGGAGUCAUGGUUCGGAAGAGGAUAUACGGCUUUUGCUUCGCCUCGGAUACGAAUUUGAGCGUGGAGUUGAGUGCUUUUCUAUAAGCAUGCUCGAACCCUACUUCUGUUAUGUUGCUACCAUGGCAGCCGUGGCAGCCCAAAAUGGUGUUGUUCUCGUAGUAGAUUGCAUACUUGAGAAACCAUUGCCCUCCACCAAUCACCACGUGGUCGAAAUCCUCGUACUGAUCAGUCCAGAUGGUGUCGGGCUCGUCUAUAUGUAGCUGGAUUAUGCCGGAGGAGACACCAUCGUCGUUCUCAAAAGUGGAGGCUUUCGUUAGGAAUGGGGCCCAUACGACGAAGACCGUGAAGUUGUGAGAGGGAAACGACCAUCUCCGGUUCUUGUAAGGCUCGUCGUGGUAGAUGUCAACGGCUUCUUCGACCUAUAACGUCAAGUUAGAUCGUUCAUAAAUAAAUGACAGCAAAAUGAAAUGAAAGUUAGAUGAUGUUUGACUAAACUUAUAAGCUCUUUAAAACAACUUACAAAUUGUUUAAGAGUUUUUAAUUUUUUUCAAAAUAUUUGGCAAAAUAUGUUUUUAAAUAAUUUAUAAGCUCUUCAAAAAAUAGGUCUUCUACCCUAA